rnacentral:rRNA from 1 species
AGGCGUGAUGACGAGGCACUACGGUGCUGAAGCAACAAAUGCCCUGCUUCCAGGAAAAGCCUCUAAGCAUCAGGUAACAUCAAAUCGUACCCCAAACCGACACAGGUGGUCAGGUAGAGAAUACCAAGGCGCUUGAGAGAACUCGGGUGAAGGAACUAGGCAAAAUGGUGCCGUAACUUCGGGAGAAGGCACGCUGAUAUGUAGGUGAAGUCCCUCGCGGAUGGAGCUGAAAUCAGUCGAAGAUACCAGCUGGCUGCAACUGUUUAUUAAAAACACAGCACUGUGCAAACACGAAAGUGGACGUAUACGGUGUGACGCCUGCCCGGUGCCGGAAGGUUAAUUGAUGGGGUUAGCGCAAGCGAAGCUCUUGAUCGAAGCCCCGGUAAACGGCGGCCGUAACUAUAACGGUCCUAAGGUAGCGAAAUUCCUUGUCGGGUAAGUUCCGACCUGCACGAAUGGCGUAAUGAUGGCCAGGCUGUCUCCACCCGAGACUCAGUGAAAUUGAACUCGCUGUGAAGAUGCAGUGUACCCGCGGCAAGACGGAAAGACCCCGUGAACCUUUACUAUAGCUUGACACUGAACAUUGAGCCUUGAUGUGUAGGAUAGGUGGGAGGCUUAGAAGUGUGGACGCCAGUCUGCAUGGAGCCGACCUUGAAAUACCACCCUUUAAUGUUUGAUGUUCUAACGUGGACCCGUAAUCCGGGUUGCGGACAGUGUCUGGUGGGUAGUUUGACUGGGGCGGUCUCCUCCUAAAGAGUAACGGAGGAGCACGAAGGUUGGCUAAUCCUGGUCGGACAUCAGGAGGUUAGUGCAAUGGCAUAAGCCAGCUUGACUGCGAGCGUGACGGCGCGAGCAGGUGCGAAAGCAGGUCAUAGUGAUCCGGUGGUUCUGAAUGGAAGGGCCAUCGCUCAACGGAUAAAAGGUACUCCGGGGAUAACAGGCUGAUACCGCCCAAGAGUUCAUAUCGACGGCGGUGUUUGGCACCUCGAUGUCGGCUCAUCACAUCCUGGGGCUGAAGUAGGUCCCAAGGGUAUGGCUGUUCGCCAUUUAAAGUGGUACGCGAGCUGGGUUUAGAACGUCGUGAGACAGUUCGGUCCCUAUCUGCCGUGGGCGCUGGAGAACUGAGGGGGGCUGCUCCUAGUACGAGAGGACCGGAGUGGACGCAUCACUGGUGUUCGGGUUGUCAUGCCAAUGGCACUGCCCGGUAGCUAAAUGCGGAAGAGAUAAGUGCUGAAAGCAUCUAAGCACGAAACUUGCCCCGAGAUGAGUUCUCCCUGACCCUUUAAGGGUCCUGAAGGAACGUUGAAGACGACGACGUUGAUAGGCCGGGUGUGUAAGCGCAGCGAUGCGUUGAGCUAACCGGUACUAAUGAACCGUGAGGCUUAACCUU